UACGUAGGGGGCUAGCGUUGUCCGGAAUCAUUGGGCGUAAAGAGCGCGUAGGCGGCCAGAUAAGUCCGGUGUGAAAGUCAAAGGCUCAACCCUGGAAAGCCGGUGGAAACUGUCGAGCUCGAGUCCGGAAGAGGAGAGUGGAACUGCGAGUGUAGAGGUGAAAUUCGUAGAUAUUCGCAAGAACACCAGUGGCGAAGGCGGCUCACUGGCCCGGUACUGACGCUGAGGUGCGAAAGCGUGGGGAGCAAACAGG
rnacentral:rRNA from 1 species